AGAACGAACGCUGGCGGCAUGCCUAACACAUGCAAGUCGAACGAGACCUUCGGGUCUAGUGGCGCACGGGUGCGUAACGCGUGGGAAUCUGCCCUUGGGUUCGGGAUAACAGUUGGAAACGACUGCUAAUACCGGAUGAUGACUUCGGUCCAAAGAUUUAUCGCCCAGGGAUGAGCCCGCGUAGGAUUAGCUAGUUGGUGAGGUAAAGGCUCACCAAGGCGACGAUCCUUAGCUGGUCUGAGAGGAUGAUCAGCCACACUGGACUGAGACACGG
rnacentral:rRNA from 1 species